UACAGGCUAGAGAACACAUUGAACUAUGAUCUCGGAAGAGUUUGGGUGGUUGGAUACAAAAAAGGAUCAGAUCGGGUUGUAUUUGGUUGUGACAAAGGAACAAUUAUGGUCAGUCUGAAGAGUACUUAGAAGCUGAGAUACGGUGAAACAACUAUAUAUCUGGGGAUGAGAAGUACGUACUUGGAGGAAUGAAGUACUGAUCAUCCGCUGCUGCUUACUGCUCUACUCCUGGUCCCUGUACUACUGUUUUCUUAUGAAUAAAUUUGUCUAUCUUCGAGUUGAAGAGCAACACUAGCUAGCUAGAUCAAUGAAUGAAGUGUUUGAUCACCCUACCCCUGCUGCUGCUGCUGUUUUGAUUGUGUGAUCUGAAAUAACUGCCACAAGGAAUUACUUCUUGUCGUGUCCAUAGAUAUUAUGUUAUAGCUACCUCCAAGGAUAUUAAUGUACUCUUUCUACUGUUUAUAUAUGCAUGUGGUGUGUUUCUUUGAA